AACGAACGCUGGCGGCAGGCUUAACACAUGCAAGUCGGACGCCCCGCAAGGGGAGUUGCAGACGGGUGAGUAACGCGUGGGAACGUGCCCCAAGGUAGGGAACAACAGCGGGAAACUGCUGCUAAUACCCUAUGUGACCUAGAGGUUAAAGAUUUAUCGCCUGGGGAUCGGCCCGCGUUGGAUUAGCUAGUUUGUGGGGUCAUAGCCUACCAAGGCAACGAUCCAUAUCUGUUCUGAGAGGAAGAUGAGUCACACUGGGACUGAGACACGGCCUAGACUCCUGCGGGAGGGAGCAGUGGGGAAUCUUCGAUAAAGGGCGCAAGACUGCUCAAGCCAUGCCGCGUGAGUGAUGAAGGACUUAGGGUUGUAAAACUCUUUCGACGAGGACGAUAAUGACGGUACUCGGAGAAGAAGCUCCGGCUAACUUCGUGCCAGCCGCCGCCGUAA
rnacentral:rRNA from 1 species